GACGAACGCUGGCGGCGUGCUUAACACAUGCAAGUCGAACGGAAAGGCCCUGCUUUUGUGGGAUGCGCGAGUGGCGAACAGGUGAGUAACACGUGAGUAGCCUGCCCUUGACUUUGGGAUAACUUCAGGAAACUGGGGCUAAUACCGGAUAUGAGCUCCUUCUGCAUGGUGGGGGUGGGAAAGUUUCGGCGUUUGGGGAUGGACUCGCGGCUUAUCAGCGUGUUGGUGGGGUAGUGGCUUACCAAGGCUUUGACGGGUAGCCGGACUGAGAGGGUGACCGGCCACAUUGGGACUGGGAUAGCGCCCAGAGUGAUACGGGGGGCAGGGGCGGGGAAUAGUGCGCGAUGGGCGGAAGCCUGAAGGAGGAACGCCGGAUGGUGGAAGACGGCCUUCGGGUUGGAAACCUCGUUCGCCUGUGAAGCAGCGUGAGUGACGGUAACGGCUAAAGAAGGAACGGCUAACUACGUG
rnacentral:rRNA from 1 species